CUCUCCUCCUCCAGUGAAGCACCACAGGACCAGUACCAGCCUCAUCCUCCUGGUCCUGGCAAUCACCCUGUGCAGGCCAGCUCAGCUCCUCCUCAUCCUCAUCCUCACAGGGUGUGGAGCAGGCCAUGGGAGCCAGCACAAGCGAUGCUCCAAGGAUAAAAGGUCACUCAUGUCCAGCUGCCCCCGUGCUGCUCUCCAGCAGGACACAGAGCCCGCGUUAGAACAGGAGUGGAAGAGAGAGGGAGGUUACCUCACCUGUGACAAGAUUCCCAGUUCAGCUUCUUCCAACUACAGAACUUCUGCUCCUCGUGGCUGGGAGUGCUCAGGUGAGAGCUGGUUUUACUGUGAGGAUGGUGAGACCCUGGCACCGGUGCCCAGAGCAGCCCCUGGAUCCCUGGCAGUGCCCAAGGCCAGGCUGGAUGGGUUUGGAGCACCUGGGACAGGGGAAGGUGUCCCUGCCAUGGCUGGGGUGGGAUGGGCUGAGCUCUGAGGUCCCUCCCAACCCAAACCAUUCUGGGAUUCUUUGAUCCUCCUUUGAUCCAGCACGGCACAAGGGGGUGGUGUGCUCCUCUGAGCUGUCCUGUGCAGGGCAGCACUGGGGUUAUGGCUCCCAGCACUGGGCUGCAGGAAGGAUUAGGGGUCUGAGCCCCUCGUUUUUAACACCUCACACUGGGGAGGAAGCUGAGAGGCAGGCAGGAACUGGAGAAGCAAGAGGGAAUGAUUUGUAUUACAAAUGACCACGUGAAAAGGGGUGGAGGAGCCCUGUCAAAAUGUAAAUGUGCAAUUUGCAUAAUUGGGCAGCCAGGAUUAAAUGAAGCACAGAGAAGGAUAAGGAUUACAUGAGGGACAGAGAAGGGAAAUAAGAGCAGCAGAGAGAGAAAACACUGCAGAUAGAUAGAAAACCUCAGAUAAGCAAGAGCAAAGGGAGAAGUUGCAAUACUCAAAGGCAGCGAAAGGAGAGGGAGCUGAGAGGAGCAGUGGUGUGUGUUACUAAUCCAGGCUGUAUCUGAGCUGCCUAGGAAGUGUGCAAAUGAAUUUUAAAAGCAGCUUGAAAUCAAAGGGGAGUGUCAGCUGGGCAUUAAACAUCCCCUUUAGUAGUGACCUUGAGAGCCUGGACCACCAGUACCUAACAACCAAACACAGCACUCCUGAAC
rnacentral:lncRNA from 1 species